CCCCGCCCCCGCGUGGCUCAUCGCUGCGCGACGCCGUCGCCGCGAGCCCCGCGUCACCAGCGCGGCGGCCGUGCCCCCGGCAGGACGGUGAACCGUCUGGCCUAUAGCCUUCAUCCUCGGUUAAGGAAAUGACCAACCAGUACAGUAUUCUCUUCAAACAAGAGCAAGCCCAUGAUGAUGCCAUUUGGUCAGUCGCCUGGGGGACAAACAAGAAAGAAAACUCGGAGACAGUGGUCACAGGAUCCCUGGAUGACCUGGUGAAGGUCUGGAAAUGGUCUGAUGAGAGGCUGGACCUACAGUGGAGUCUGGAGGGACACCAACUGGGUGUGGUGUCCGUGGACAUCAGCCACACUCUGCCCAUUGCUGCCUCCAGUUCUCUCGAUGCUCAUAUUCGUCUCUGGGACUUGGAAAACGGCAAACAGAUCAAGUCUAUAGAUGCAGGACCUGUGGAUGCCUGGACUUUGGCCUUUUCUCCUGAUUCCCAGUAUCUGGCCACAGGAACUCAUGUGGGGAAAGUGAACAUUUUUGGUGUGGAAAGUGGGAAAAAGGAAUAUUCUUUGGACACAAGAGGAAAAUUCAUUCUUAGUAUUGCAUAUAGCCCUGAUGGGAAGUAUCUGGCCAGUGGAGCCAUAGACGGGAUCAUCAAUAUUUUUGAUAUUGCAACUGGAAAACUCCUGCACACGCUGGAAGGCCACGCUAUGCCCAUCCGCUCCCUGACCUUCUCCCCGGAUUCCCAGCUCCUUGUCACUGCUUCAGAUGAUGGCUACAUCAAGAUCUAUGACGUGUUAGUCAGUCGUGUACGGAGGAGGAGGCAGAACCACUGGCGGUCGCUGGCCCAGAGUGAUGUCAAAAACGUGGACAUCCAGCAAGCUCUCCUCCGCCCUGCCAAGGGGGCUGCCGGUUUAUCCACCAGCUCGCUGCAGACAACACGCCAAUCUGGCCGGCACGCUGAGCGGCCACGCAUCGUGGGUGCUGAACGUUGCCUUUUGUCCCGACGACACUCACUUCGUUUCCAGUUCAUCUGACAAAAGUGUGAAGGUUUGGGAUGUUGGAACGAGAACGUGUGUCCACACCUUCUUCGACCACCAGGAUCAGGUCUGGGGAGUAAAAUACAAUGGAAAUGGCUCAAAAAUUGUGUCCGUGGGCGAUGACCAGGAAAUCCACGUCUACGAUUGCCCCGUGUAAACACCAGAGUCUCGCAGGCUGGUGUGUAGAUCACGACAUUCCUUGCCUUUCUAGCAUUUAUUGGAGCAAAAACAAAUUUUGUAGAUACAGGAUCAGUCUUUUCAUGUUCUGUUAUUGGAAAUGCUGUUCAUACUUGAACAUAAAGUGUUUAUAACACCAA